CCUACGGGUGGCAGCAGUGGGGAAUAUUGGACAAUGGGCGAAAGCCUGAUCCAGCCAUGCCGCGUGUGUGAAGAAGGCCUUCGGGUUGUAAAGCACUUUCAGUGGGGAAGAAAGCCUUGGGGCUAAUACCCUCGAGGAAGGACAUCACCCACAGAAGAAGCACCGGCUAACUCCGUGCCAGCAGCCGCGGUAAUACGGAGGGUGCGAGCGUUAAUCGGAAUUACUGGGCGUAAAGCGCGCGUAGGCGGUCUGAUAAGCCGGUUGUGAAAGCCCCGGGCUCAACCUGGGAACGGCAUCCGGAACUGUCAGGCUAGAGUGCAGGCGAGGAAGGUAGAAUUCCCGGUGUAGCGGUGAAAUGCGUAGAGAUCGGGAGGAAUACCAGUGGCGAAGGCGGCCUUCUGGACUGACACUGACGCUGAGGUGCGAAAGCGUGGGUAGCAAACAGGAUUAGAUACCCCAGUAGUC
rnacentral:rRNA from 1 species